rnacentral:rRNA from 1 species
UACGUAGGGUGCAAGCGUUGUCCGGAAUUAUUGGGCGUAAAGAGCUCGUAGGCGGUCUGUCGCGUCGGCUGUGAAAACCCGGGGCUCAACCCCCGGGCCUGCAGUCGAUACGGGCAGACUAGAGUGUGGUAGGGGAGACUGGAAUUCCUGGUGUAGCGGUGAAAUGCGCAGAUAUCAGGAAGGAACACCCGUGGCGAAGGCGGCUCUCGUCGGGACGGUCGACUGACGCUGAGACGCGAAAGCGUGGGGAGCGAACAGG